rnacentral:lncRNA from 1 species
AACGUGUACUUUGCCUAAAUGGGAAAGAUUAAGUGGAGGCAGGGGUGAUGGCCAGGGUUUCUAUUAUUUCUCAUUGAGGAUGGAUGGAUGGAUAACCCCACCUUUAAGCACACAGACCUUAAAGUUUAGUGCAGCUCCAAUCCUCCUCCCCACUGAAUGCAGUGACACCCGGCCCCAAAUCUGUACCCCCCUCCCUUAAGAUAUAGAUGAAACCUGUCAUAGUGGUUUUAACCGCAGGUAGGUAGGUGAUAAAACUCUUCUAAAAAUACAUCCUCCUGCUGCGUAUAGAACUGUUUCCUAAACUUAGGUAUCAGAUCAACACAUAAAAGGGCAAAGCCUUCAGAGAGAUGAGAAAGCAGCUUUGCACCAUCAACUUUAUCCUCUAAGACCGGUUCUUUUGAAACCGAGCACGGCCCUGUGGGGCUUCUGGGUGCAAAAGCCUUUCUGUGUCCCCCCCAUUUCUUGUUCUCAGGAAAUGGGCCUCAUUCAGCCACCAGGACCUUCUCUGAGUUCCAAAGGGGCAGGUUCAGGUGCUGAUCAGGGAGAGAAAGAGUCCAGCCACAAUAGCCUGGGGUCAGGAUCCAGUUCCGUCUCAAGGGAUUUGCAUAAUAAUAUAGGCACCUUAUACACCCAAGACAAAAGUUAGACUCCUUAUGCUUCCAAUGAAAACUGCUUCAAGUCCUUCUUUGUCCUUCUCUCUAACUAAACUGUACCCUCAACACAAUCACCCAUAAGCUAAAGAAUCAGGCACCCUGAGCAAAAGUGCCUGUGGGUUAAAGACGAUGUUUUUCCGGAACUUUCCUAGUUUGUGCUCAUCCGUAUGCCCUGAUCGCAGGUACUGUUAUUUUAGGUAAUAGCCCAGAAGACCCCCAUCGGGAUCAUACCAAGCUCUCCCGACUCCAGCUUUGAGGACUGAGAUUCCCCCAAAGAAAGAAGGCUGCUUGUUUGCCCCAAUCCUGAUUCCUAUGCCGAAUUCCGGCAACACUUUCAGGAAGGAAAAAAAAAGAAGAUUAUUCAAUUCCACUCCCCGCCCCCGUCAUCCGGCCCCAGAAAAGAAUCUUGCUCAAAGAAUACGUGCAUCCCAGAAAUGACCCCAGGGGAAAAAAAGGCAUUCCUUCGGCCAAAGAAGGACACACAUGCAAAUUGUCAGGUCUCAGAAGAAUAUAGGCUAAUUUGUACACAUGGUGGAGGAGCAUGUGGGGAGGCCAAGGAGAGCCUGUCUUUCACAGUCUCUGGAGAAAAAUGUUCUUUACUACGUGAGCACAAGUGAAACCUGAUCGUAAAAACUUUAAGGAAUUAUGUGACUGCCACAGUUAUUCUAUCAAAUAUUGCUCAAAAUUCUUAAACUAAGAGCCACUGGCCAGCAAUCCCUUUUUUUUUUUUUCCCUUUUUGGGGCUGCACCAGUGGCACAUGGAGGUUUCCAGGCUAGGGUUUGAAUCGGAGCUGCAGCUGCCAGCCUACACCACAGCCACAGCCACAGCCACGUGGGAUCUGAGCAGCGUCUGCACCCUACACCACAGCUCACGUCAAUGCCAGAUCCUUAACCCACGGAGCAAGGCCAGGGAUGGAACCUGCAUGCUCAUGGCUACUAGUCAGAUUCGUUUCCGCUGAGCCAAUUCCGCGAACUCCUAGCAAUUUUUAAAGCACAAAGAUUCUGCAACUCUGUGUUUGUUGUAGUGUAACUUUACCUGUCUAUGGCACCAGAAAACAUCCCAGGCGAAUGGUGCUUCUUCAGUCUAAAUUAAUAAUUUAAAAAAAAAAAAAUCAGUGAGUUCCCUGGUGGCUCAACGGGUUAAGGAUCCAGCAUUGUCGCUGCUGUGGUAUGGUUUUGAUCCCCGGCCUGGGAACUUCCUCAUGCCUGGGCUGUGCCCCCUCAAGUUAAUUAAUUAAUAAAUAAAUAAGGAGGAAGAAUUUAGACAAAAGGGGAAAUUGGGAUCCCAACCCUCUGCUCGCGAAAGAAAGUGAGAAAUUAUUCUAUGGGUCUUAGGCUAAUAGACCCCAAACAAAUUCAGAUUCGGUCCAUCUCAGUGAAAAAUACAGAAGCUCACAGGGAAAGACUUUGGCGAAAUGUUUUCAGAUUCCAUCUUCUGAAUUCAGUCUGUUUCUGCAGUCAUCAUGUUCCGCAAGUCAAAGAUAAAGUUACCACGGUCUGCAAGCCAGGUUCAAAUAUGGCAUAACUACAAAUUACAGUGAUUUGUGGAAUGGAAAAUGCUUCCAGUGGGGAGCCGGGCUGCGCCCCUGGAAUCAGAAAGGGUGAUUUCCCCCUGGAUUCCUGCUGAAACCACAUCCCCAUGAAUGACGGUUGAUGAAAUGGCAUAAGGAGAACAUUAAUAGGACCGCAUGAGGAGACCAAAUUGUACCCUGAUUACAACUUCAUAAAAAAACAGGCACCGCGACAGAAGGCGAGGCUGCCGAAUAAGGAAAAGUGAUGUUACUGGUUUCGUUCACAUGGCGAGAUUAUACUUGAUAUUAUUCUUUAUCUUCCACGCUUUCUGUAAUAUUGUUAUUUUUUUUUUACAUAACUUAAAAAAAUACCAGUGCAUCUUUUAUGACUAACUUCCCUGGACUCAAGGUUAAGGCGAGUCAAUGCUAAGCUCUUAAAUUUACCCGGGGACCACUGUCAAUUCUAAAACUCCAGGAGCCAAGUAGCUUAAAUUCCCGGUCAGUAUCUUCUCUGAAAUUAACACGCAUAAAGAAGAAAGUGACUCUGGCUUUUAGGAGCUGGGUGAAUUAACCUCCUACCUUCUAGGAGGUGAACAGGGGCCUCACCAUGCAGACACCCUGGCUAUUUCCUUUCUUCUGUGCAUGCCUUCAACCCUAUGAAAUUACACAGAGCUCUACUGAAACCACCUGCAGCCAAGGAACACACUUCAGGUUAGCCUGACGGCCCACGUGGCAAUGCAGGUUCCAACAAUAAGGUGACUUUGGGAGGACCCGGGAAAGUACCACUUAGAGCUCAAAUAACAAUGUAAUGUUAAGUAAACACCAGUCGAGUUCGGGCUGGGUGGGGGAGGGGGGCAAACAAGCACCAAAAAGGCCAUGAACACGGAGGCACGGAGGUAGGGCAGAGUUAAGCAGCCCUAUUUGCCUGGGGAGAUACACUACCUUGCCCAUUGAGCUAUUUUCAGUACCGUUAAAAGCACACAUCAACAGAGGACAAGUUGCGGCACCAAGACUCUAGGACUCCCUGCUAUGGAUCUCGUUUCUUUAUCCACUGGCAUUGAUUCGACGUGGGUGAGGGAUUUUUGAGUCCCUGAUGGGCAUCGGCCCAUUCUCAGAGUGGUACCACCUGCAUCUCCCAUCGUGGGUAAGCACAACAAAGCAAUGCACUCACUCUCUCCCUGAAAAUGAACUUGGGCUGGAAAUGCCUUCACGUUCCUCUGCUCUCAGCAGUUCCCCCUUGUACUGCUCUCCAUUGUGGGCUAGUCUGUGCCUCCGCGGAAGUUUGGCUGACCCCCUGGUCAAUAUGCCCCUCUGCUACACGGACCCAGGCCUCUGCUCUGCUGAGAAACUUUCCCUGACUGACCUGGCCCCCGGCUCACAGCUCCCCCCUUUCCAUGCCUUUCAAGCCUUCCAGAGUCACAAGGGUGGUGCUGAGCACUGGCUUUUCACCUGUGUGUUUCCAUGUGCCACCUACAAGCAUAAACCCUUCAGGACCCGGAGCCAUUUCUUUGGCAUCCUUUACAAGGCAAGGGUAGCACUUUUUUCCCCCAAAGUUGCCCCAGACUGAAGGAAGGAAGGGAAGCUUAUGUGCCAGUGACAGCGGAAGACGUCAAUCUAGUAUUUUAGAGACUUAAGAAAUGGAUCCUCCAUCUCAGAUCAAUUAUCGAGUCACUUAAUCCACGAAAACAUACAGCGAGGAUACUCCUACCAAUGUGAAUUAAAGCAUCUAUUACUCAUGCCUUAAAGCAACAGGAAAGAGGGACGAUGGGCCGCUCACAUUGGAGAUCCACAAUAAACGUUUCUUAGAAAGUCUGGUGCACAUUUGAAGCCCAGAGCAGGGGCUGGCUGAGAGGUAAGCUAAGGGCAUCAUGGGUGUUAUUCUCCACCAGGCAGAGCACGUCACCUGCUCUCUGGACUCAGAGCCAACUGUGAUAAAACCAGACACCCUGGUGGAGUCCCAGAUACCAGUUCAUGCCUCUCCAUGGCAUCCAGGUUAGCCCCAUUCCGAAAGAGCUCCCCAAGAAGGCUUGGGGUGUGGGUAGGAAGGGAAGGAAGGCAGUCAGGCACCCACUAAUGCAAACCAUGUCUUCCCUUUAAAGGGCCCCAGGGGAACUGCAGGGCCAAUCGCGUUCCAGGCAGCCCUUGAACCAGCACCAGCUCACCAGGACCCCUUGGGAAGAGGGGUGGGAGAGUCUACCCUGACGGCCUAACAUGGGAAGGCCCUUGACUUCCAGAAACUGGAUUUCCCAGCCACCAAAGCUCAGUCUAUCCGGCAAUGACAUCAGCCCCACUUAUCGGAAACAGCACAAAAGCCACAGAAAACUAGUGAAAGACCAGCUGGCAAUCCCUGGAAUGCACCGCCUUCCAGAAUACACGCAUUUCCCCAUCACCUCCUCUCCCUGACCCUGACCAAGGGUUUCUGGCACAAUAAUGACCCCGCUGCCCAGAUCCACGCAGACCUGGAAAGCAGUAGGGAGGGGGCCACCUGCCUCCACCUGGCGGGGAGGGGCGAGGUUCCCUGGCCGGCGCCACUGGCAUCCAUCCUGCUCUGGCAGCGGACCGGGUCCCAGCCCACCCCUGCGCUCACAGGGUGCCUGCCUCACCCCCGAGGGAGGGGGUCUAGCUGGGGCCCGGGCUCCCGUUGCUCUGCGUGUGGGAUUUUCACCUUUUCAGGGCUCCUGAGGCGCUCGGAUGUCCACACAGGCACCCGUGAAGCGCGGUCCCGAAUCCUGCGUGGAACCCCCGUGGGCGGGAGAAAAAUGCAGACGCUGUAGCCCCUAGAAUUUGAAUUUCUGGUACCGGCGUCCAGAAAUUUGUUGGGCUUUUUUGUUUGGUUGAUUGGAUUUGUUUCUGAAUCCUCAGGUGAUGAUUCUAGAGAUCUCAACUUUGAGAUCGCAGCCACAAGAGUGAGCUGCGACUUUCCUGAAAAGUCCCCGGGCGUCUUCUCCGUGGAGGGGGCUUCCCGAGAGCAGAAAGGGGCGCGCUUUCGGGUUGGGACCGGACGACUCCGCCGCGCGCGACCGGCGGGCGAUCGGCACACUUGGGGAAGGAGAAAGGGAACCCAGCCUGUCCCAUGGCGGGAACAAGCGACUGAAGGCUAGAAACCCGGCCUCACCCGCCCCACGCGGAAGAUCACCACAGGACCCCGACGCCCUCCACCCGGCCUUGACUCCCCCCGGGACCCGCCAGGGUUCCCGACCGCCACGGUCGCGAGCGGAGGCCGG